UACAGAGGUCCCAAGCGUUGUUCGGAUUCAUUGGGCGUAAAGGGUGCGUAGGCGGGUUUUUAAGUCAGGGGUGAAAUCCUGGAGCUCAACUCCAGAACUGCCUUUGAUACUGAAGAUCUCGAGUCCGGGAGAGGUGAGUGGAACUGCGAGUGUAGAGGUGAAAUUCGUAGAUAUUCGCAAGAACACCAGUGGCGAAGGCGGCUCACUGGCCCGGUACUGACGCUGAGGCACGAAAGCGUGGGGAGCAAACAGG
rnacentral:rRNA from 1 species